GCAAAGGUAGCAUAAUAAUUAGCUUCUUAAUUAGGAGCUGGAAUGAAUGAUUGGACAAGAAAAUUACUGUCUCUAUUUAAUUGAUUAUUGAAUUUUAUUUUUAAGUUAAAAAGCUUAAAUUUUUAUAAAAGACGAGAAGACCCUAUAGAGUUUGAUACUUCAAUUUUAUUUAAUUAUAGAAUUAGUUUUGAAAUUUAAGUAUUUAAUUGGGGUGAUUUAAAGAUUUAAAUAAUUCUUUAAUUUUUUAAUUGAUGAUAAGCAAAUUGUAAAUCUAUAUUUUUAAAUUUAAUAUAAAUUACCUUAGGGAUAACAGCGUAAUUUUUCUUUAAAGCUCUUAUUAAAAGAAGAUUUUGCGACCUCGAUGUUGGAUUAAAAUUAAUUUUUGGUGCAGUAACUUAAAAAUUGGGUCUGUUCGACCUUUAAAAUUUUACAUGAUCUGAGUUUAAACC
rnacentral:rRNA from 1 species